AGCUUUGCACAGUGGCAGUACUGUAGCCAAUGAGGUUUAUGUGAGGCACGAUUACUGCUAAUUAAACUAGGGCUCCAGUGCCC
rnacentral:snRNA from 1 species